rnacentral:rRNA from 1 species
CAUACGCUCGUCUCAAAGAUUAAGCCAUGCAUGUGUAAGUAUAAAUAGUUAACUUUGAAACUGCGAAUGGCUCAUUAUAUCAGUUAUAGUUUAUUUGAUGAAGAAUACUAAUUGGAUAACCGUAGUAAUUCUAGAGCUAAUACAUGUAUAAAGUCUUGUAGACUGCAUUUAUUAGAAUGAAAACCAUAGGUUUCGGCCUAUUCGUGAGUAAUAAUAACUAAUCAUAUCGUAUGCUUAUGUAACGAUGUGUCUUUCAAGUUUCUGCCCUAUCAGCUUUCGAUGGUAGUGUAUUGGACUACCAUGGCAGUAACGGGUAACG